ACAAGCGUGAGGGGAUCGAUAUUUUUCAAUUCUCUAUCUUCGUUUUCGAAAAUAUGUAAUUUUUGUCGUACUGCUCAUACUGUUACAAACACAGGAGAUAAGUUCUCGACAAGGAGGGAUAAAAUCCUUCCAAUCCUAAAUUGACAAAGUCUUGGACAACUGUCGUUAUUAGUAUCAGAUUGAUACCAAACCUCCCAGUAUUGCCCACCCUUGCUCCACAGCGACCUCUGUGGCCAAACUGAGAACACCAAACAGUUGUCCUCUGGGAGCGAAGCGAAAGGAUAAGUGCGCAACAACAAGAAGUUAUUUGGGACAGCUCUGGCAUGCUUCCCAGGAAGAACGUUUCAACGGUAGAUACAGAUAGACGCCGCAUCGAGUGGGUUUGUCCACCUCUACGUCAAGGCUGCCCUGUAAAUGAAUACAACGCAGCCUUGACACAUUUGGCGGCAACGUUGACGUACGGCGUCUACAGGACGUACAUACAUUAUGUCUAUGGCUUCAACGAUGAACAACACAACAGGCAACAUCGUGGUCUACGAACACUUAGUUUCAAGAGGUGAGAGCUAUAAUUGAAAUGUAGACAUGUUA